AUAAUAUUGCUACAUCAAAUAUUGUACAGUUUAAUUUAAUGGCUUGAGUCUGAGUUGAGUUUUACUCUUGUCUUUGGCCAAGACAAGAGUACGAUUAUCACUGAUAUCUUGAUUCGAUACGAUACCAAUUCACAGUUCUCUCAAUUCCAGAGCUUCGUUGGCGUCCCUGGCCUGCAUUAAAGCAACAACAAAAAACAAUAAGUAAAAGUAGCCCAAUACAGGUGUGUUUUCUCACCGUUUUGAACCAAAAUGAAGACAUGAAGUUGAUACGAUUCCAAAUGCUCAUCUCCGAAGGGGGAUAAAUCCCAUGUAGAUGCAGAUGCUUCACUGAGAUGAAUGGCGGGAUGUGAAAUCCAAUAAUCGCCUUCGAAGGGUCAACAUUCUUCGAUUUUAGCAGCUCGACCAUGCCCGAUUCCAUCCGCAGCACUGAUCAACAAACACAUGCACAUGAAUAAAUUAUAAACAGACAACUACA